rnacentral:piRNA from 1 species
UAAGAUUGUGCCCCAAAAGGUAGAAA